rnacentral:rRNA from 1 species
GACGAACGCUGGCGGCGUGCCUAAUACAUGCAAGUAGAACGCUGAAGAGAGGAGCUUGCUCUUCUUGGAUGAGUUGCGAACGGGUGAGUAACGCGUAGGUAACCUGCCUUGUAGCGGGGGAUAACUAUUGGAAACGAUAGCUAAUACCGCAUAACAAUGGAUGACCCAUGUCAUUUAUUUGAAAGGGGCAAAUGCUCCACUACAAGAUGGACCUGCGUUGUAUUAGCUAGUAGGUGAGGUAACGGCUCACCUAGGCGACGAUACAUAGCCGACCUGAGAGGGUGAUCGGCCACACUGGGACUGAGACACGGCCCAGACUCCUACGGGAGGCAGCAGUAGGGAAUCUUCGGCAAUGGGGGCAACCCUGACCGAGCAACGCCGCAUGAGUGAAGAAGGUUUUCGGAUCGGAAAGCUCUGUUGUAAGUCAAGAACGAGUGUGAGAGUGGAAAGUUCACACUGUGACGGUAGCUUACCAGAAAGGGACGGCUAACUACGUG